rnacentral:rRNA from 1 species
UACGGAGGGUGCAAGCGUUAUCCGGAUUCACUGGGUUUAAAGGGUGCGUAGGCGGGCUAUUAAGUCAGUGGUGAAAUCCCGGGGCUCAACCUCGGAACUGCCAUUGAUACUAUUAGCCUUGAAUUAUGUUGAGGUUGGCGGAAUAUAACAUGUAGCGGUGAAAUGCUUAGAUAUGUUAUGGAACACCGAUUGCGAAGGCAGCUGGCUAAACAUAUAUUGACGCUGAUGCACGAAAGCGUGGGGAUCAAACAGG